rnacentral:rRNA from 1 species
UACAGAGACUGCAAGCGUUAUUCGGAUUCACUGGGCGUAAAGAGCGUGUAGGCGGCCAGGUAGGUCUGCUGUGAAAACUCGAGGCUCAACCUCGAGACGUCGGCAGAAACCAUCUGGCUAGAGUCCGGAAGAGGAGAGUGGAAUUCCUGGUGUAGCGGUGAAAUGCGCAGAUAUCAGGAAGAACACCCGUGGCGAAGGCGGCUCUCUGGGACGGUACUGACGCUGAGACGCGAAAGCGUGGGGAGCGAACAGG